rnacentral:lncRNA from 1 species
GAGGCCAUAACAAACAUUCACAUACACUUUGAAUACUCCUAAUAACGUCAAGAUGAUGCAAGAUGUUUGGACUCAGUUGGGUCCAACCAUUGCAGCAAUCAUGUUCACCUGGACCAUGUACCAAAACUAUUUUCCUCACGAACUUCGUGGUCAUAUUAGGAAGUAUAUCACGAAAUUUAUAAAAUAAUACUUAAAAACUACCCUUCAUUAAAAUUAAAACACUAUAUUAUUUUACAUACAAGAUUACGUAGUAACGAACAUUAAUAAUGUAAAGGAAAAUGAAAAUAUAGCAACUUAUCAUUUAUCCUUAAUAACAUAAGCAUAAAUUAAUGACUGUAAAAAUAAAUACCAGGAACGGUAACAUAAGCAAUGGUGUCAGUGAGCCACUUAACAAGAGCAAAGCACAUGAAUGUUUAAUUGUGCAGAAGAAGAAGAAGAAGAAGUUCAGAAUUUUUGUGGUUUUAAAAUGAGAGGAAAUCCCUCUAUUUAUAGACAACAAAGGGUAGUGUGAACAAAUGUUUAUUGUGCCUUAUCGGAAAGGUCACGACUAUUUGGAAAAGUUGCAACCCUUCGGAAAGAUCGCGACCUUUCAUAAAAGUCACAACUUUUCAUAAAAGUCGCAACUCUUCAUUGAAGUCACAACUUUUCAUAAAAGUCACCACUUUUCAUGAAAGGGGAAGGCUAGUUUUGGAAAUAAAUAAAUUAAAAGGGAAUCCUGGAUUGUGGUGGCGCCACGUAGGCAGGCCUAGGGUUCUCUUUUAAUAUCGCGCGGAAAUUUAAUAUCACGGAAUUUUAUAAAAUAAUACUUAAAAUCUAUCCAUAAUUAAAACUAAAACACUAUAUUUAUUAUCUUACAUACAAAAUUACGUAGUAACGAACAUUAAUAAUGUAAUGAAAAAUAUUAAUUAUAACAUUUUAUCAUUUAUCCUUAAAUCAAUCUCUUUAAUUUGAUUUUAUAAUUUAUCCUUUUACUUCGAGGAAGUGUUACUAUUUGAUAUUUUUGGAGAAUCAAAUGAACAUCAACCUGAGAUAUAAAAAUAUUAUAAUUCUAAUGUGUAGAAAAGUUCAGACCUACCUUUUGUUUUACAUAUAUCAUUUUAAAGUUCUCCAUUUAAAUGUAUCAUAAGUAAUUAUUAAAAUGAAAAAUUAAAGGGAGAAUGUAUCAUAUUGGACAACAAUUCAACUUAUUAUAUAUACUUGAAAGGGAAAAAUAUUACACAAUACUAUUCAGUUUGUUUAGAUGUUUUUUAAAAAUCAACAGACCAGAAUGAUGGAGUUCAAUUUGAAACUACACUUCUAUUCCAAUCGCAAUGUCGAAAAACUCAUCUAUUACUUCAAGAAAAGUAUUUACAACUUGAAGUAAAUUUGAGAAUUUGUCCAUACUUCAUAUUAAAUAUGAGCAAUUAAUUGAUUAUGUAGUUAUCUAUGUCUUUGGGAUUAAAAGAGGUUCCAGUCUAGUCAUAUUCCUCUAUAGGUCAUUCGACACAUCCUUGAACUCAAGUCAAAAGUUUAUUAAUUCUUGUCUUUUUUCCUAGUUCACUUCGCACAUCAAGGUGCGAUAAGGUUUUUAAUGUCUUUAUGUCCUUUCAAUGUAAUACCAAAUUUGAAUUUUAUCUUCAAGAGAUGGUAAUAUAGAUCUUUAAGAAUUUUUUAAUCGUACCUUCAACAAUUUCAGUAGAGAAAACUAGUGUGAAUACUCAAUUAACGUGUGUUAUUUAAUCUGUACUAACAAAUACUUAUAACAAUAACUUUGCAAAAAACAUAAACAACAAAGUUUAAAACAUAUACUCAAGAACAAUAAUUAAUAACAUAAGUAAAAUGAAUGAUUGUAAAAAAACAUACCAAGAUCUGUAACAGUAGAAUGAAACAGAAUGGAAAAACUUGAGCCCACUGAAUAUACAAUGUCCCCUUAAGGAAAUUAUUCUCCUUUAGUACUCGGGUUUAAAGGAAUAGAUCCUCUCAACACAGAACGAUUCCAUUCACCAAUAUAUUGAUACAAAAACAAUGGUGUCAGUGAGCCACUCAGCAGGAGCAAAGUAUACAAAUAUUUUAUUGUGCAGAAGAAGAAGAUCAGAUUUUUUUGUUGUUUUAAAAUUAAAAUGAGAGGAAAUUCCUCUAAUUAUAGACAACAAAGGGUAGAGUGAACAAAUGCUAAUAAUGCCUUAUCGGAAAGGUCACAACCUUUCAUAAAAGUCACAAUUUUUCAUAAAAUUAAAGUUGCAACUUUUCAUUAAAGUCACAACUUUUCAUAAAAGUCGCAACUCUUCAUCAAACUCACAACUUUUCAUAAAAAUUGCAACUUUUCAUGAAAGUCACAACUUUUCAUGAAAGAGGAAGGCUAGUUUUGGAAAUAAAUAAAUAAAAAGAGAAUUCUAGUUUGUGGUGGUGCCAUGUAGGCGUGCCUAGAGUUCUCUUUUAUACAUAUAUAAAAUACAUGACAUACUAUAAAAGAAAGUUAGAUAAGUAAAUUGAAACAAAGAAAAUACUAAACAUAAUAGAGAAAAUUAAAGUAGAAGGGUAAAUCAGUCAAUUUGCCGAUUGAGUCUAAGCUCGUCUCUAUUCCCUUCUAUAUAAAAGAAAUAUACCUUUAAUUUGCACUACGAAACAUUUUUGGUUAGUCCGCCCCGGGACUCACCCUGAAAAUCUCUUUGAAACACUGAUCAAUAGUACACAUUUGCUCUAAUUUCUAGUAGUUUAGUAAUAACAUUGUACGUUGAUUUUUAAGUACUCCAUCCAUUUUAAUUUGUUUUUCUAGUUUUGACUUAGUUUAAAGUUUCUUUGAUUUUAUGUUUUUUGUUUUGAUUUGAAUCUUUUGGACCUAAAUUAAAAAUAUGUAUUAAAAAGUACAAAAAUACCCUUUAAUGUUAUGAUCUCAAACAUAAAGUUGGAAUUAAAGAAUUGUCCAGAAAAAACGAAAGGAAAAUUCCUUUUAAAACAGCCUAGAAAGAAAAGUAAGACAAAUGAACUAAAACAAACGAUGUAUAUACUAUUGUUUUCAAAGACUGUUGUAAGUCAAGGUAUUUAACAUUUUCAUGGAAGUGACCUUACCUAUGAAAUAGUAUGCAUGACGCAUGCCAUAGUUUAGAAAGACCAAUAUUGUAUAAGUCAAGAUAUUUUUACUUUAUGAGUCACGUGUUUUACCUUAAGUAGCUUCCAGGAAACUGUUAAUAAUAGUGACAACCAUUAUAGAAAAUAUACUUCGCACAAUAAUACUUUAACACAUUGAUAGAAAGUGCAUUUUCCAGGUAAUUGUACAUACUAAUUGCUUUACCUAAACACAAAUGGUCGUCUUAUAUGUAUUAUAUUAAUUUAAACAAAGACAAUUACUUAAUGCUAGCUGGUACCAACAAAGGGGUGAAUAAAAAUAAUUUGUUGAAAGACUUGGUUUAACAAACAAAUAUACUUUAAUUUGUUCAAGGUUAACUUUUCGUUCGAUUUUCCUCCUAAUUAGGAUAUUUUUUUCGGGGAAACUUACGUACAUAUAUUAUAUUAAGAAAAUAUUUAUUAUUUAUAGUAAUAACAUUUUUUUUCACUUGAUCACUUUUAAUACAUUUAUAAUACAGUUUUAAUACAUAUUACAGUGAACAAUUUAUAAAACACAUAUAAUACAAGUUUUAUUGAUGGAUAAUACAUUUAUCUCACAUUUUAAUACAAUGUGUCAAUUUGUUACCAAACAAGCAUAAUAUAUUUUAAAACAGUGAUAAUACAUAUAAUACAUAAUUCACUUUUAAUACAUAUUGCAGAUUUAUCAUAGUAUUGAUAUGUAUUUACUAUAAAUGGUAAUAAAUAAAAAAUAUCACUAAAAUCUGUAAUUAUUUAUUAAAAGGUAUUAAUUUUUCCUUUAUUGUUACUCUUGAUAUCUAUAGUCCUCAUUAUGUUAUUUUCCUGAAUCACUUGACCUUAAUUUUUGAUUUAACGUUUUCGAUUCACCCCGUUUGGUCUUUACGUGUGAUUUGUAUACCGAGUACCAGAUGAUUUAAAACAUCUUAUUUUAGAUGAUAUAUGGGUCAUAAUUCUCUCGUCCAUACGUAAGUGCAAUGACAUCUUAUAUAUAUAUAUAUAUGGUCCACUUGGAAGAAGACAAUACGCAUUAUUGGAGCUUAAUCUUAAUUUAACCUUCCUAGUUCUCAAGGGACCUAAUUAUAUAUGAAUUAGAAUCUAUUAAUCAGGACAUGAACAGUAUUUCAAAAUUGGCAAUAGAAACAUGGUUCCAAUUUAUGUGAUGUACUUUUCUUUUUAGUUUGUAAAAAAAAGAAUGACAAAAUAAGUCUUUUUAUCUUGUCUUAAAGGCAUUGGACACGCCCUAUAAUCAAUUCAGGAUCCAACCCCGAGAUCCUAUUUAGGACUUGACCUCGAGACCCGACCUAGACCCGACUUCCAAAUCGAGACCCGACUCCGACUCUUGGUCCGGGACCUGAUUUCUGACUUGGAUCCGACCCCGACACCCAACACUUGACUUGGGAACCGAUCCGACCUCGACUCUCAACUCGAAACCUGACUUUGUCACCCGACCCGGAACCCUACCACGACACUCGACCUAGGAUCCAACCUCGAAUCCUGAUCCGGGACCCAACACCCCGAUCGGAAUCCGACUCCGACCCGACCUCAGGCCCGGGAGUUGAAUCUCGAAUCAAGUCGAGAGGUCCGUGUCCCAAUUUAUGUGAUAUACUUUCCUUUUUAGUCUAUCAUAAAAAAAUAAUGACACAAUAUAUCUUUCUGUGUUUUCUUAAAAGCAUUGUGCAUGCCCCACUCUGGCUUUCUCUAUAUAUAGGAGGCCAUAACAACAUUCACAUACACUUUGAAUACUCCUAAUAACGUCAAGAUGAUGCAAGAUGUUUGGACUCAGUUGGGUCCAACCAUUGCAGCAAUCAUGUUCACCUGGACCAUGUACCAAAACUAUUUUCCUCACGAACUUCGUGGUCAUAUUAGGAAGUAUACCGAUAAACUUGUGAGCUAUUUCUAUCCUUAUAUGCACAUUACUUUUUAUGAACUUGAAACAGAAGGGUGGUUUGAGCGGAGC